CCAUCCGAGCUUCGAUCGCCGCACCGUUUACGGCCACGCGUUCACCGCGCCAAGCUCUACGUUUCUACCAGAACAAUUUCAUAGAUGCAGGUCGAGAGGCAUCUCGUUAGGCGUCUGGACCCCUGAGGCGAAGUGGUUACUGUGUUAUUUUGUUGUACAUUGAUGUAUAUAUAUGUACUUAGCUCCCUCUCUCCGCAUAACUUAUUCUUUUUUAUCUUCUUAGAGGUUUAUAGAGAGGCAGGAUUUUGUUUAUGUAUAUUUAGGUUUUGGAUAUAUGUGUGUGUGUGUAAAUAUUCUUCGGCCAGUCUUGACAUCGCGGGCUGAGUUAGGAGCUUGUUAUUUUGUAUCUUUGGCACUCUAUUCCUA